AAACCCCCUCGCCGAAAGACUAAGGUUUCCUGAUCAACGCUAAUCGGAUCAGGGUUAGUCGGGUCCUAAGGCUCAGCCGAACGGUGAGGCCGAUGGCAGAACAGGUUAAUAUUCCUGUACUACCUUAAGGAGUGACGUGGAGACGGAGCAGUGAUAGCGCCGCGGACUGACGGAAUAGUCCGUUGAAGGGUGUAGAUGUUGAUCUUUGCAGGCAAAUCCACAAAGAGAGUCGAACCUGAUAGUAUGGAACGUUCUUCGGAACAAUCCAAUAGUGCGUGUAAGCAUACUCCCAAGAAAAUCCGCUAAACUUAAUCUUUAAGGUACCCGUACCGCAAACGGACACACGUAGUCGGGUUGAAUAUACUAAGGCGCUUGAGUGAUUCACGGUUAAGGAACUAGGCAAAUUGACCCUGUAACUUCGGGAUAAAGGGUCCCAACGAGAGUUGGGCGCAGAGAAUAGGUCCAGGCAACUGUUUAACAAAAACACAGGGCUGUGCAAAAUUGAAAGAUGAAGUAUACAGCCUGACACCUGCCCGGUGCUGGAAGGUUAAGAGGAGAUGUCAUCGCAAGAGAAGCAUUGAAUUGAAGCCCCAGUAAACGGCGGCCGUAACUAUAACGGUCCUAAGGUAGCGAAAUUCCUUGUCGGGUAAGUUCCGACCUGCACGAAUGGUGUAAUGAUCUGGACGCUGUCUCAACCGUGAGCUCAGUGAAAUUGUAGUAUCGGUGAAGAUGCCGAUUACCCGCGAUGGGACGAAAAGACCCCGUGAACCUUUACUAUAGCUUAACAUUGAAUUUGGGUAAUUGAUGUGUAGGAUAGGCCGGAGACUUUGAAGCAGGUACGCCAGUAUUUGUGGAGUCGCUGUUGAAAUACGGCCCUUUGAUUAUUUGAGUUCUAACCCGUUGAUGCGGGGACACUGUUUGGUGGGUAGUUUGACUGGGGUGGUCGCCUCCAAAAGUGUAACGGAGGCUUCUAAAGGUGCCCUCACGACGAUUGGUAACCGUCGGCAGAGUGUAAUGGCAUAAGGGCGCUUGACUGGGAGACUUACAAGUCGAUCAGGUAGGAAACUAGAGCAUAGUGAUCCGGUGUUUCUGUAUGGAAAGGACAUCGCUCAAAGGAUAAAAGGUACUCCGGGGAUAACAGGCUGAUCCCUCCCA
rnacentral:rRNA from 1 species